GCCUGGGCAACAGAGUAAGACUCUGUCAAAAAAAAAAAGAAAAAAAAAAAGAAAGGACGUGCUGGGACUACAGGCGUGAGCCACCGCGCCGGCCUCUUUUCUUUUUUUUAAAUUUUUAUUUUUCCACCCAAAUCUCAUCUUGAAUUGUAAUCCUCAUAAUCCCCACAUGCCAAAGGAGAGACCAGGUGGAGGUAAUUGGAUCAUGGGAGUGGUUUCCCCCAUGCUGUUCUUGUGAUAGUGAGUGAGUCUCACGAGAUCUGAACCUCAGCCUCCUGAGAAGCUAGGAUUACAGGCGUGAACCACCACAGGCUCC
rnacentral:lncRNA from 10 species